AGUGAACGCUGGCGGUAGGCCUAACACAUGCAAGUCGAACGGCAGCACAGUAAGAGCUUGCUCUUACGGGUGGCGAGUGGCGGACGGGUGAGGAAUACAUCGGAAUCUACUUUUUCGUGGGGGAUAACGUAGGGAAACUUACGCUAAUACCGCAUACGACCUACGGGUGAAAGCAGGGGAUCUUCGGACCUUGCGCGAUUGAAUGAGCCGAUGUCGGAUUAGCUAGUUGGCGGGGUAAAGGCCCACCAAGGCGACGAUCCGUAGCUGGUCUGAGAGGAUGAUCAGCCACACUGGCACUGAGACACGGUCCAGACUCCUACGGGAGGCAGCAGUGGGGAAUAUUGGACGAUGGGCGCAAGCCUGAUCCAGCCAUACCGCGUGGGUGAAGAAGGCCUUCGGGUUGUAAAGCCCUUUUGUUGGGAAAGAAAAGCAGCAGGUUAAUACCCCGCUGUUCUGACGGUACCCAAAGAAUAAGCACCGGCUAACUUCGUG
rnacentral:rRNA from 1 species